CCCGCCGUCGCUAGGAACGUGACGUCGGCAGAGGGGCGACGGGCCAUCCCGGAAGUGGCCUCGUGGUCUUGUCGAAGUUCACCCCAAGUUUAGAACCGAAUCCCGGUCCCAAGAAACCACCGGGCGUCACCGGCCCCUCGUUCGUGCCUCGGCCCCAAAACAGACCCCGGGCCCUAGGGUCCGCGGACCGGGCGACGAGCCUUCGAGACCGGCAUCCGGGGCCUCCCCGAAACGGGAUCGCCCCUCCUAAGUGGAAAGAAUGCUGUAGGAUUUGCGCGACUUCCUAUGGCCUCAUAGGCACUGUCAGGAAUGCCACUUCAGUCUCCUGGCUCCCAAACCAAGACCAGGAGAGUACAAGAAACAGAGUUAUCUAGGUUUGAACCCAAGAAUUUCCCUGGAGUCAGCCUUGUCAAUGACAAUCCUGUGGGAGUGGAGUGAGGGCAUAGCACGUGGUCCCAGAGCCUCCUGUGUCCCCACAACACAGGAAAUGGAAGCUGUGCAAGGACAUACAAUGAAGUCUGGACCUUCCUCAGAGCCAUCAGUGGUCCCCACCCCAACUCCCGAGAAGGUCCACAGGAACUGAACCCCAGUUGCUGGUGCGCUCUCUCUCUCUCUCUCUCUCUCUCUCUCUCUCUCUCUCUCCUCUCUCUCUCUCUCCCCCUCCCCCUCUCCACUCCCUCCUCCUCCUAGACAGGGUUUCUCUGUGUAGCCCUGGCUGUCCUGGAACUCAUUCUGCAGACCAGGCUGGCCUCGAACUCACAGAGAUCUGCCUGCCUCUGCAGCCUGAGUGCUGUAAUUAAAGGCGUGUGCCACCACCGCCCGGCUCAGGUGUUUUUCUCUUAAAGACUGGCCCUUCACCAUACUUUUUUUUUUUUUUUUUUUUUUGAGACAGGGUUUCUCUUUAUUGCUUUGGAACCUGUCUGGAACUCACUCUGUAGACCAGGUUGGCCUCGAACUCACAGAGAUCUUCCUGCCUCUGCUUCCUGAGUGCUGGGAGUAAAGGCGUGUGCCACCAACGCCCCCCUUCACCAUACUUAGAAGCCUGGAAGCCCAGGGCUGGGGGUGGGGUAGUCUGCCUCCUAGCUGGAAGUCUCUAUACUGGGUCCUAUCAGUCAAUACUCUAGUGGCUGGGUUCCUGGAAGGAGGAGGCCGUUGCGGCCCAGCCCUGCGGGCGGGCUGCAUGCUUUAAUGGGACACAUGUUGCUGCGUGGCCCCCACAGGCCCUGCUUGCGACUGGCUUUGAGCAGUCACAGGCAGAAAAUUGCUACAUUGUCCUGACAUUAGGGCGAGUAAAUCAGCAUCUCAGCGUGGCAGGGCGUGAAAGGCAUGGCUGGCCAGCUCUCCUCAUCUGCAGCGUCUUCAUCAGACCUCAGGACACCCAGGGCUCCAUCCUCAUCACUCAGGGUGGCACGCAGCGCACAAAGCUCCCGGUGACAUUGGAGGACCACCAGAAGAAUAUUGGGAGAUAAGACGCAGCCGGGACUUGACAAGUAGAGACCGUGGUGAGGUUCGGACCUACAGUAACUGGCUCAACAAUGCCUGGAGAGGAUGGCUAGGGAAAAGUCUUCAGU
ensembl:lincRNA